CCUUGGAUGAGCCCGCGGCCUAUCAGCUUGUUGGUGGGGUGAUGGCCUACCAAGGCGACGACGGGUAGCCGGCCUGAGAGGGCGACCGGCCACACUGGGACUGAGACACGGCCCCGACUCGUACUGGAGGCAGCAGUGGGGAAUAUUGCACAAUGGGCGCAAGCCUGAUGCAGAGACCCCGCGUGAGGGAUGACCGCCUUCGGGU
rnacentral:rRNA from 1 species